AGCACCAAAGCAGCAGUGUAGGGCCAGAGCUGGAAGUCCUUCUGCUGUAAAUCCACACCAAUCCACCUAAGACCAAGCACUUGUGAAUAUUAAAUUCACACUAGUGUAGCUGAGAGUAGAAAUGGCCUUUGUUUUUGAAACCCUUGGAGUCCAAAGUGAAAAAAAAAAGGAGCAGGGUUUAACCUCUAAACCUUUCACUGACCUUUAAGCAGUACUUUGGAUUAUAUCUGCCCUUGCUAAUCUGAAGCCACUUGCAAACAUAACUGGCAUUCCUGUUUUUUAAGUGUACUUUAGGUACAUUAUAGAACAGGUUAGCAAUUGAAAAGUUUGGCUCCUGUUCAUGAUGUCUUUAUCACCUUUUAAAGUGAUGCUUAUCUUUGUAAACAAAACUUCACAGUAAGCAGCAACACAAGAAAUGCUUUGUGUUGAAGUGCAUCAUGUAAGUGAUGGCCAGGCUUAGAUCUGUACUCUUGGAGGUGCAAACCCGCUGUUGAUCAAGACAUUAAAUUUUGUGGAAUUCCUGCAUUAAUGUAGAACUCAACAAGGACCAGCUUUGUUAGCACCUCUUUCUAUCACAGUGCACCUGUUCUUAGCACAUGAUGAGAGGAUUGUGAAGACAGUGAUGGAACAUACAUCAAAAACCUGUUGCUUCAUGCUCUGUGACACCUUUGCUGUACCAAGAAUGAAACAGAGAGAAGGAAUUUGGUUGUUGGGAUUAUGAAAUCCAGAGCCUGGUUCUAUAAACUGCUGAUGAUAUGGACUUCUGUUGUCAUUUGGAUGUGAUUACAUAUUCACUGUCUUAAUUAAUAGUUAUGGAUAUUGCAUGAUAUAGUGUUAACACCCUAUCUGAAAAUAAAAUGAGUACUGACAUGUCAA